GGGGUAGACCUAUAUGUAACUUAACCGGUCUCUCGUAACUAUUUUUAUUUUAAAAUUGAAAAGGGAGAGACCUCUAUGCAACAUAACCGGUCUCUCUUAGUUUUUUUUUUUUUUUUGAAAUAAAAAACCGGAGAGACCAGUAUGUGAGUUUACCGGUCUCCCUUACUAAAAAAAAUUAAAUAAAUGGAACCCUAAGCUAACACUUCACUAUGCUAAUUCCGCCUCCAACUUUCAAUCUCCAUCUCCUUCAUCUUCCUUUUCCUCUCCUUCUCUCUCCUCCCUUUCCUUUAAACGAAUUUCCUUCACCUUCAACUUUCCCAGAUCGUCGAAUUCAAGAUCUCAAAAGAGCGAUUAAGGCAAUACACAAGAAAAUACAGGGGAAAAAACGUACGUUUUCUCUUAAUUGUGUUCUUGAAUCUAGUAUGCUCUAAAAUUCUCCAUUGAAGCGGCUUUUCAUCUUUCUCUCCUCCAUUGAAGCAGCUUCUAAGAUAUGCUAGUUUUCACACAAGAUCUUGAAACAAAGGAGAGAGGAAGAAAUUGGAGUACUUAAGAGACAUGUUUGACAUAAUUUUACGUAUAGAUUACAAGAUUUGAUGUAUUAUAAUUUUAGUGGAAUUUAAUUAAAGUUUGUUAAAUUUCUUUGUAUCAUAGUUAAACAUUAAUGUGGCAUUGUUAUUCUCUUUUA